rnacentral:rRNA from 1 species
GAUGAACGCUGGCGGCGUGCCUAAUACAUGCAAGUCGAGCGAACAGACGAGGAGCUUGCUCCUCUGACGUUAGCGGCGGACGGGCGAGUAACACGUGGAUAACCUACCUAUAAGACUGGGAUAACUUCGGGAAACCGGAGCUAAUACCGGAUAAUAUAUUGAACCGCAUGGUUCAAUAGUGAAAGACGGUUUUGCUGUCACUUAUAGAUGGAUCCGCGCCGCAUUAGCUAGUUGGUAAGGUAACGGCUUACCAAGGCAACGAUGCGUAGCCGACCUGAGAGGGUGAUCGGCCACACUGGAACUGAGACACGGUCCGGACUCCUAAGGGAGGCAGCAGUAGGGAAUUUUGCGCAAUGGGAGAAAGCCUGAGGGAGCAACGCCGCGUGAGUGAUGAAGGUCUUCGGAUGGUAAAACGCUGUUAUUGGGGAAGAACAAAUGUGUAAGUAACUAUGCACGUAUUGACGGUACCUAAUCAGAAAGCAACGGCUAACUACGUG